UCCCUGGUGGUUCAGAUGGUAAAGCAUCUGCCUAUAAUGCGGGAUACCCGGGUUCAAUUCCUUGCUUGGGAA
rnacentral:tRNA from 1 species